rnacentral:siRNA from 1 species
ACCGUUAUCGUUAGCCUGAAGAAC